rnacentral:rRNA from 1 species
UCUGGCUACAGGACGAACGCUGGCGGCACGCUUAACACAUGCAAGUCGAACGAACGGAGAUAGCUUGCUAUCAAAGUUAGUGGCAGACGGGUGAGUAACACGUGAGCAAUCUGCCUCUAAGUGGGGAAUAACGAUUGGAAACGGUCGGUAAUACCGCAUAAUAUAGCGAAACCGCAUGAUUUUGCUAUCAAAGAUUUAUCGCUUAAAGAUGAGCUCGCGUCUGAUUAGCUGGUUGGUGAGGUAACGGCUCACCAAGGCGACGAUCAGUAGCCGGACUGAGAGGUUGAACGGCCACAUUGGGACUGAGACACGGCCCAGACUCCUACGGGAGGCAGCAGUGGGGAAUAUUGCACAAUGGGCGCAAGCCUGAUGCAGCGAUGCCGCGUGAGGGAAGAGGGUUUUCGGAUUGUAAACCUCUGUUGACAGGGACGAUAAUGACGGUACCUGUUCAGAAAGCUCCGGCUAACUACGUGCCAGCCGCCGC